rnacentral:rRNA from 1 species
GACGAACGCUGGCGGCGUGCUUAACACAUGCAAGUCGAGCGGUAAGGCUCCUUCGGGAGUACACGAGCGGCGAACGGGUGAGUAACACGUGAGCAAUCUGCCCAUCUCUUUGGAAUAAGCGUUGGAAACGACGUCUAAUGCCGAAUACGACCUCCUUUCGCAUGAUCGGAGGUGGAAAGCUCCGGCGGAGAUGGAUGAGCUCGCGGCCUAUCAGCUAGUUGGUGAGGUAACGGCCCACCAAGGCGACGACGGGUAGCCGGCCUGAGAGGGUGACCGGCCACACUGGGACUGAGACACGGCCCAGACUCCUACGGGAGGCAGCAGUGGGGAAUAUUGGACAAUGGGCGAAAGCCUGAUCCAGC